ACCCAGAGCCUCUACUCAUAGCUCUGCCCCCUGACAUCACAGAUUGUAUGUUAUUCAUCUCUGGAACCUCAACAGCAGUCUCUGACAUAUACUAAGUAAAUAAACAUAUGGUGAAUGAAUAAAUGAGUAAAUGACAUCAAUAAACUGAUCAUUGACUGGAGUGACCAAAAAAUAACAAUUCAAAAAGCCAACAUCAGAUGAAAAUGUUCAAAUCUAUUAAAAGUAAAAGCUUUAAUCUGUUGGCAAUAGCUUUUAUUAGAAUAAUAUACUUAUGGGAAAUUAAAUACCUAUAAGGUCUGCAUCCAAUUCAUUUUCUGUAUGAUAAUUCUUUUCCUUCUUACAGCUCGAGGGUUAUGGAAGAGCAAAACAUUUCUAGAUGUGUUAUAUUUACGGUUAGCGAUGACACAAUAAUAUAGCUCGACUAUCCUUAACACCCUUGACUUUACCAUUGAUUUCCUUCCUACAGUGUUAUAAAGAAAACAAAAAUUAUGAGCACAUGACCAUAGGUUAUUUUUAAAACAACCCAAAAUUCUUUGCCACUUUUAUCAGGAUAACUUGAUGAACAAACAUGCCCAACCCCAGACAUAGUUAAAUGAGCCAAAUGUUUAUAACAUGGUUUAAUGACUAUUCGUGCAUAACGUUAUUUUAAUGAUUUGUUUUUCCACCAAAGUAGAGUACAGAGUACGAAAGCCACGCCAAAAGGGCAUACUGACCCCUUCUAAUCUCUAAUGAAUCUGUUAUUAGCCUAAUAAGGAUCUGGUGCUGGACAUUUGGUGAUGGCAUAGUGUAAUUUUAGUACUAACCAUUUGGAUGUUCAUAGCAAAGGGGCAGGAGAGAAUGGGCAAUUAUAACUUAAUAACAGAAAAAUGGAAGGCAGGCAAAAUGGCUUAGCAUAGUCAAAACCCCAUCAAUUUUGCAUUCAGCUGGGAUGCUGAGCUUUUUAUAUCAUAGAUUCUCAACCGAAUAUCCAUAACUCUAUGAUCAGAAUUCUCAGUGAAGAGAAAAUAUAAUUAACUACACGGAAAAUUGAGAGAAGACAUGAACAUUUAAUUUCCCUUCAUAAUCUAUCCAACACACCACCAACACUUAUUAACAAAACGAUUAUGUUUUCUUUGUCAAUGGAACAGAGAAAAAAAUUUGUAAGAGUAUCCGUUAUGAUAAUGACAUAUGACAAUACGUAAUCACAAAUAAAUUACACUCAUUAUACAAAUAUUCAUGGAAUGUCUAUCAGCCUUACUUUAUGCUUGCAUUAUUUUUACCAUAUAUUUUCCCAGAUGAUUAAGAAUUCCAGAAUCCUUCCUAUAUUACCCUAAAUUAUGAAAAAGAAUACACCAUGAUUUUAUCCACAAGGACAAACAUUAUAUUACAGCCCCGUAGGGGAGAUUAACAAGUCAGAAAUUACAAUUUGAAAUGAUAAAAUGCAAAGAGAUUCUUAGUGGGGACAUUGAAUCCUUUGGAGAUGAAGACAAACGAGCAACAGGAAGAAGAUCUGGAGAUCCUGACUGAGAAAUAGUAGCUAAACUAGGUUUAAAGGAUGAGUAUGAAUGAUCCAAUAAAAUGUGGAGGGAGAAGGGCAAAGGGAAAUGGGCUAGGAAAAAUAUUCCAGACAAAAUGAAUAGCAUCUGGAAGGUCUGGAAGAAAAAGAAAGCAUGAAACUAAGGAAAACAGGAAGAAGUUCAUUAUAAAGUUAACAUCAGGGGCUCACCAAAAUUAUUGGUGGCUCAGCUGGUUGAGCAUCUUCCUUCAGCUAAGGUCAUGAUCUCGGGGUCCAGGGAUCAAGCCCCACGUCCAUUGGGCUCCCUGCUCAGCAGGGAGUCUGCUUCUCCCUCUCCUUCUGACCCUCCCCCACUUAAUGUGCUUGCUCUUUCUCUCUCAAAGUCUUUUUUUUUAAAUAAACAUUGUAUAAUUAAUAGCAGAACUUGAAGAGAGAGUGAAGUCCAUGAGAUAAGUAGGGCCCCAAUCAUGAAAGGUCUUAUGAGCCAAGGCACAAGAAUUAACCCCAAGAACACAGCAAAGCUAGAGAAAGAUUAUAAACAGAGGUGCAAUAAGAUCACAUUACUCUUCUUGAAAUCUCACCCUGACUACCUAUUAAAGGUGAAAAUAUCAGAGAACAGAUUAUCCAGGAGACAAUGAGAAUAAAUUAGGGAAUUAUUAUAUGAUCUACUUAGGAUAUGUUGGUGACCCACUCUAGGACAGUGGCAAUAGGAAUGCAGAAAAAUAGGUGGAUUUGAGGAAUUUUAGAUGAUAGGAUAAACAGUAUUUAGUAAUUGGUUAGCUGUGUGAAUGAGGGAGAGGGAAGAUGAGGAUUUUGCAGCUGAGUGAAUGGUGGUACUAUUCUUUGGUUUAGGUUUAGAAAAGGAAAGGGAGAGGGAAGAAAGGGGAUAGGAGGAAAGAGGAAGAGUUAAUGCACUACUUCUUACAAGUUUUAACUUUUAGGUGCCUGUGAAAUACUUAAUUGUAGAUGCCCUGAAAUCACUUAAAUAUGACAUUCUGGGGCUAAAGAAAGAAGUCUGGUAUGGGGAUAUGAAUUUAGGAUCAAACCUAGGAUCAGGGAUUCUUAAUCUGAAUUUAUGAUGGGCUUCAAAAGGUUCCAGAAUCACCUAAAAGUGUAUGCAAAAUGUUAUGGGUUUAAUUUUCUCUUCCUUGUCGGGUUUCUUAAGGUGAAACUUACUGAUUAAAGUUCUAUUUUUUUCUAAUCCUAGGAUUUAUUGUUAUAAAUUUCCUCCUAAUCACUGUUUUAGCUGUAUUUCACAAAUUUUGAUAUAUCAUGUUUUCAUUGCCAUUCAAUUCAAAAAAAUUUCUGAUUUCCUUUGAGAUUUUCUCUUCAACCCAUGGAUUAUUUAGAAAUAUACUGUUUAAUUUCCAUAUGUUUUUACAUUUUUUAGAUGUUUUUUGUAAUUGAUUUCUAAUUUAGUUCUGUUGUGAUCAUACACUGUAUAGUUUGUCUUCUAUAAAUGUGAGGUAAGUCAAGUAGGUUGAUGGUAACGUUCAAGUCUUCUCCAUCCUUACUGAUUUCCUCUCUGCUUGUUCUACCAAUUAUUGGGAAGUGUUGAAAGCUCCACAUAUAGUUAUUGAAUUUGUCUAUUUCUGCUUUUAGUUCUGCCACUUUUUUUUGUUUAAUGUAUCUUAAAGCUGUUAUUAGGAACAUACAUGUUAGGUUUAUUUUACCUUCUAGAUGAAUUGACUCUUCAUAUUUAUCUCUGCUGGUAUUCCUUGCCCUGUAGGCUUCUUUAUGUAAUACUAAAAUAAGCAAUCCAUCUCUCUCUUGAUUAGUAUUUUCAGGGUAUAUCUUUUACUUCGAACUUAUCUAUCCUUAUACUUACGGUGCUUUUCUUCUAUAUAACAUACAUUUGGGUCUUAAUUUUUUUAAUCCACUUUGACAACCUUUUCCUUUUAAUGGAAUAUUUAUAGACAUUUUACAUUUAAUUUUAUUAUUGAUAUGGCUGGUUUGGGGUCUAUCAUCUUGCUAUUUGUUUAUUUUUCUUAAUUGUUUUCAUUUUUCUCUGUUAUUUUUUACCCUUUUUUGGUUUUGGUAGAAUAUUUUCUUGCAUUCCAUUUUAUCUCCAUCAACUGAUGUAUCUCUUUUUUUAGUAAUUGCUCUAGGGUUUAUAAUAUGCAUUUUAACUAAUCACAGUCUACCUUCAUAUCACUUCAAGUAUAGUAUGAGAACUUUAAACAAUAUAAUUCUACUUCUCCCCUUCAUCCAUGGAGCUGUUGUUAUUAUCUUACAGUUGCCAAGAUAUUACCUUUAUUCCUUAUAAAGGUGUUACUAAAGAAAGUGGACAAGUAAACUUCAUAAUACUGAACUUCAAAAUUGGAAAGACUUCUCCAUUCUAGAUACCUAUAUUGCCUGGGGACUUGCCUCUGUUAGAUUUAUGACAUGGAAAUGCAAAGAAGAUUCUCUCCGGGAAGCCCACUCACAAGAGGAAGGGAGAAGAGAAAGCACUGAACUUCUACUUCCCACCUCAUCAAUGAGAGGUAACUCUAACUCCCCCAUUGCAGAAUGAAUGAGGGGGCAAAGAGAAGCCAGGAGAGUUAUGCUAUCAGAAUGCUCUCCAGAAAAAAGAAACCUCGAUGUGAGAAAACCCUUAUCCCCUAUCAGCACCUCAUCUUUAUAAAUUUUGUCUGUUCUUUCCUGUCCCCACAUAUAUUUUUCGUAUACAUUCCCUUACUUAAGCAUGCAUUGCUCUAGUAAUUCUUGUAGCUUUUUGUUCUCAAAUUGCAUUCCAAAUAAAUCCAAUAAAAUGUUUGAAAGUUAGGAGGAAAGUCUCUCUGCACCAUCCACAGAACUUAGAAUUUCACAACUUGAGCCCUCGAACUCUAGUCACAUAGCCAACUAUGUGUUCACACACUGAACAGAUCAUGUGGAAUUCCCUUUACGAUCCAGGCAGCUACAGGCGCUGGUGAUACCAAUGGUGAGUAAGACAGAGGAGGCCCCACAGUCUGCAGCUCCCAUUCUUGUGAGUAUGGGACAGGGGAGUAGACAAGCAAACAAAUGCAUCCAGAAGACAAUUUCAGAUAGUAACAAGUGUCAUGAAGAAAAUAAAGCAGUAUGGCAAAAUUGAAAGUGAUUAGAUAGGGGACAACUGUUCAUGGACUCUGCUUCUUUCCAUCUUUGACUCUCUAGGAAAAAUAAAUCAAGAUGGUGAAGAGACUAAAAUAAAAUAAAAUAAAAUAAAAUAGGGUCUUGAUUUUAGGGGGGAAGAUAAUCAGUAUAUCAGUUUUCAGUUUUUAUAUUCUAAUCUUCACUUAAAUUCAACAGCCUGUUUAUAUCCUCUCAUAUAUCUCUCUUAAAUAGCAACUACCUUUGGCCAAAUACAUAAGCCAGCAAGCUGAGAAUAGAAGCAUCAACACAGUCUUUAUUCUACCAAUCAUAGCUAAAAAUAAGCCAGAAUUGAGGUACCUGGGUGGCUCAGUCGUUUAAGGGCUGCACUCCUGGUUUGGGCUCAGGUCAUGAUCUUGGAGUCAUGAGAUCAGUCUCAGCUCUGCACUCAGCAUGGAGUCUGCUUUAAAUUCUCUCUCUCCUUCUCCCUCUGCCCCUCCUCCAGCUCUCCCCCCCCCCCAAAUAAGUAAAUAAAAUCUUUAAAAAAAAAAAAAACAGGAAUAAUUGUUACUUCAAUUAUUCCCUGAGUGCCAGCAUGCCACUGAUUAUUGGGAAAUAAUGACCAAGGAAAGGUUUAGAUUAGCAAGGAGUAAGAAAGCUUUUGACACACGAAUGUGCAAGUGUUAAUUAAACUGUAUCGCCCUGUGUAACACCAGUGGGAAAGGUAACAUUUGUGUCAACUGUGUGAAAGGUUCUUUCAAGUAUUAGCUUCAUUUUCAGAUAUCAAAGUCUUGGCAUUAACCCAAAUGUCAAAAGGAGUGUUUUGAUCGUGGCAUGCAGAUUUGUACUUCUCCACCCCCAAUCCCAGAUUGUUGUAAUAAAGACGGUAAAGUCAGAAAGUGGGGAAUGAUUUGCUGGCAAGAAAAGCCAAAAGAAAACAGGCUUCCAAGUAAAACAAAGCAUGCAAUGGCUAUGAAGCAACAU
rnacentral:lncRNA from 1 species